rnacentral:rRNA from 1 species
CCUACGGGUGGCAGCAGUGAGGAAUAUUGGUCAAUGGACGCAAGUCUGAACCAGCCAUGCCGCGUGCAUGAAGACGGCUCUAUGAGUUGUAAACUGCUUUUGUACGAGGGUAAAUGCUGAUACGCGUAUCUGUCUGAAAGUAUCGUACGAAUAAGGAUCGGCUAACUCAGUGCCAGCAGCCGCGGUAAGACGGAGGAUUCAAGCGUUACCCGGAUUUAUUGGGUUUAACGGGUGCGUAGGCGGUCGGAUAAGUUAGAGGUGAAAUCCCGAGGCUCAACUUCGGAAUUGCCUCUGAUACUGUUCGGCUAGAGAGUAGUAGCGGUAGGCAGAAUGUAUGGUGUAGCGGUGAAAUGCUUAGAGAUCAUACAGAAUACCGGUUGCGAAGGCAGCUUACCAGGCUACUUCUGACGUUGAGGUACGAAAGCGUGGGGAGCAAACAGGAUUAGAUACCCUUGUAGUC